rnacentral:rRNA from 1 species
UACGAAGGGGGCUAGCGUUGCUCGGAAUCACUGGGCGUAAAGGGUGCGUAGGCGGGUCUUUAAGUCAGGGGUGAAAUCCUGGAGCUCAACUCCAGAACUGCCUUUGAUACUGAAGAUCUUGAGUUCGGGAGAGGUGAGUGGAACUGCGAGUGUAGAGGUGAAAUUCCUAGAUAUUCGCAAGAACACCAGUGGCGAAGGCGGCUCACUGGCCCGAUACUGACGCUGAGGCACGAAAGCGUGGGGAGCAAACAGG